rnacentral:rRNA from 1 species
CCUGGUUGAUCCUGCCAGUAGUCAUAUGCUUGUCUCAAAGAUUAAGCCAUGCAUGUCUAAGUACAAGCCUCACUAAGGUGAAACCGCGAAUGGCUCAUUAUAUCACACCUAAUCUACUGGAUAGUUAACAGUUACUUGGAUAACUGCGGUAAUUCUGGAGCUAAUACAUGCACAAAGCCCCAAACUUACGUGAGGGGCGCUUUUAUUAGAUCAAAACCAAUCGGCUUCGGCUGAACUCUUGGUGACUCUGAAUAACUUUGGGCUGAUCGCAUAGCCUAGCGCUGGCGACAUAUCCUCCGAAGGUGUGCCCUAUCAACUGUCGACUGUGGCAUAGACGCCCACAGUGGUUUUGACGGGUAACGGGGAAUCAGGGUUCGAUUCCGGAGAGGGAGCCUUAAAAACGGCUACCACAUCUAAGGAAGGCAGCAGGCACGCAAAUUACCCAAUGACCGAAGGUCGAGGUAGUGACGAAAAAUAACGAUACAGGACUCAUCUGAGGCCCUGUAAUCGGAAUGAGUACACUUUAAAACCGUCCCCGAGGAUCUAUUGGAGGGCAAGUCUGGUGCCAGCAGCCGCGGUAAUUCCAGCUCCAAUAGCGUAUAUUAAAGUUGUUGUGGUUAAAAAGCUCGUAGUUGGAUCUCGGCGGUCUGAGGGCGGUGGUCUUCAGAGAUCUACUGCCCUAUAGACCGUAGUUUUGCCAGAGGUCUCAGGGUGCUCUUAACCGAGUGUCUUGCGAUGCUGGCAGGUUUACUUUGAAAAAAUUAGAGUGCUCAAAGCAGGCUUUUACGCCUGAAUAUUCGUGCAUGGAAUAAUAGAAUAGGAAGUCGUUUCUAUUUUGUUGGUUUUCGGAAAUCGACUUAAUGAUUAAUAGGGACAGUCGGGGGCAUUUGUAUUCAAACGACAGAGGUGAAAUUCUUGGACCGUUUGAAGACAAACUACUGCGAAAGCAUUUGCCAAGAAUGUUUUCAUUAAUCAAGAACGAAAGUUAGAGGUUCGAAGGCGAUUAGAUACCGCCCUAGUUCUAACCAUAAACGAUGCCAGCUAGCGAUCUGCCGACGUUUUUUUUGUAGACUCGGCAGGAAGCUUCCGGGAAACCAAAGCAUUUGGGUUCCAGGGGAAGUAUGGUUGCAAAGCUGAAACUUAAAGGAAUUGACGGAAGGGCACCACCAGGAGUGGAGCCUGCGGC